CCUACGGGAGGCAGCAGUGAGGAAUAUUGGUCAAUGGGCGCGAGCCUGAACCAGCCAAGUCGCGUGAGGGAAGACGGUCCUAUGGAUUGUAAACCUCUUUUGUCGGGGAGCAAAAGACGCCACGCGUGGCGUUCCGAGAGUACCCGAAGAAAAAGCAUCGGCUAACUCCGUGCCAGCAGCCGCGGUAAUACGGAGGAUGCGAGCGUUAUCCGGAUUUAUUGGGUUUAAAGGGUGCGCAGGCGGAAGAUUAAGUCAGCGGUAAAAUUGAGAGGCUCAACCUCGUCGAGCCGUUGAAACUGGUUGUCUUGAGUUGGCGAGAAGUAUGCGGAAUGCGUGGUGUAGCGGUGAAAUGCAUAGAUAUCACGCAGAACUCCGAUUGCGAAGGCAGCAUACCGGCGCUCAACUGACGCUCAGGCACGAAAGUGUGGGUAUCGAACAGGAUUAGAUACCCGGGUAGUC
rnacentral:rRNA from 1 species